UACGUAGGGUGCAAGCGUUAAUCGGAAUUACUGGGCGUAAAGGGCGCGUAGGCGGUGCGGUAAGUCUGCAGUGAAAUCUCUGGGCUCAACUCAGAGUCUGCUGUAGAAACUGCCGUGCUUGAGUGUGGGAGAGGUGAGUGGAAUUCCCGGUGUAGCGGUGAAAUGCGUAGAGAUCGGAAAGAACACCAACGGCGAAAGCACUCUGCUGGGCCGACACUGACACUGAGAGACGAAAGCUAGGGGAGCGAAUGGG
rnacentral:rRNA from 1 species